rnacentral:lncRNA from 1 species
UGAGGCAGAGGAGAGGAUGAUGAAUGUGCUGAGCCGUACACAGGGCCUGAAGAGUGUCAUGGAUUCUGAGCAUCACAUUUAAAGGAGUCAGUCAAUUCUCCAAGUCCAUUUCCAGAACACAUGAGUAAAAAGGUUCUGGGCAUUGGUUAAAAAAAAAAGCUGAGAGAGCUGGAAUGGUGGUACAGGAAAUGAACGUCUGCUUGUUCCCAUCCUGGAGUCUAUACUGUUUCCUUUGCUGAAGUGGCUGCCUCUGAGUCCCUUAACUAUGGUGUGGUGAGAGGAAGCAACCAUGAUGGAUGAAAAUAAACCCCCAUGGUGAUCAGGAGGUAUUCCUUGGGAACCAGAAAAAAGCAAGGCAGGCUUUAGAACCAGUGUUCCCGUAUAUCCUAGGUAUCCUGAUUGUGACAGUUGAAGUGGAGAUCUGGACUAUGCAAGACUAGAAGUGGCUUGAGUAAAAUUUAUUUAAGUAGGGAUUUUACUUCACAUUUAUUAGGUUCCAGGCAGCAGCAGGAGGUGGAGUAGGAGGUCUUGGUCAAGCUUGUUGUGCUUACUGCAUUUGAGGCAUUGUGACAUCAUAAACAGCACACUACUUAGAUCUAGACUAGUCACCACUGAAUAACUGUGGAGCGACUGGUAGUGUUAUAGUUUGGUAGUGUCAUUACAAUGCGACUUGGAGGGCAAUGACCAUGAUGGUGUCAUACGAAACAGCACUCAGCUGCAAAUGUUAGAAUCAGAUGUUAUGGCUUACUGAAGACAGUUUUUACAGUUGGGUGCAGUAGUUCUGUUGAAGUUUGGCAGACAUAUCUAAUAAAAUAGGAAGUUAAUUACACUGAAGGAUGCUUGCAUUUUGGUCAGAGCUCAGCCUGACGGUUGCCUCUAGCACACCUCCGGAAAAACAGAGAGAGCUGAUAAAUCACCUUCAGGAACAGUCAGCAUUCCACAGUGGUCAAGUCUCAUCAGCCUUGCCUACAGUGUGGAUUUACCUUCAGGUGCCUUCCUUACAUCCAUCACUUAAUUUCUGCAGUACUUUCUCCUCUCUGACUUGAGGUUUUCUCUUGGUUUCCCGUUAUGAGUACCUUCAUUUCAGUCUGUCUCAGUCAACCUUGGAGCUCUGUUGUUCCCUCCUUGUGGCCGAGCAAUAAGAUCUUUCUCAGUGAGGCUUUGAACCCCCAACAACCAUGUUUGCUAAUAUUCCACCUGAAAGAAUGGCCUUGUGUUUGCCAGGCAGGCACUGUGCUGCUGAGCUAAAUCCCCAGCCCCUGCUUUCUGUAUUUCCUAUAUUUCUGUUCUUCAGGCUUUAGUUCGUACUGUUUUCUCCACUGAAAAUUUACCCGCUGAAAUUUCUUUUAUCCAUCAAAUCUUAUCUCAUAUGGCAGUUCUUCCUCAGGAAGACUUUUCUGUUGCCUCUGCAUUGACAGUGAUUUCUCUGUCAUUUAAUAAUUACCAAUCUCUCUCCUAUGCUCGGAACUAUACUUACUCAUUUAUUUUCUUUUUCUUCCCAUUAGAUCUUGAAUUCCGACAAGGCUCACCAUACCUGUCUCCUGUGGAAUGUGAUCCAGAAAUCUGUUAAGCAACAAAUGCUCGAAUGUUUAUCAAAUGCUGAGAAUUCUCUAGAAGGUAGUUAAGAAAAAAAAUGAAAAAGUCCCUGAAGGACUGUGUCCAGCAAAACAGCUUGCUAUUCUUCUGAAUUCUAAUGUGUGUGAGAGAAAUAAACUUUGUUUUGAAGGCACUAUAAUUCAGGGCCUCUUUGUUACUUUGGUGUAGCCUUUGAAAGGCAUUGG